AAUAGAUGAGAACCCUGGCUUUCUUAAACUAUGAAGCCAAGGGGUUUCGGAUCAGAGUGCCAAGUGGGCCAAUUUUGGUAAGCAGAACUGGCGCUGUGGGAUGAACCAAACGCGGAGUUAAGGCGCCUCAAUCGACGCUCAUGUGAGACCAUGAAAGGCGUUGGUUGCUUAAGACAGCAGGACGGUGGCCAUGGAAGUCGGAAUCCGCUAAGGAGUGUGUAACAACUCACCUGCCGAAGCAACUAGCCCUGAAAAUGGAUGGCGCUGUAGCGUCGUGCCUAUACUCCGCCGUCAACGGCAACGCAGGCAGUCCUCUCACGGGGACGGCGCUGUUAAGCCUUGACGAGUAAGAGGGCCGCGGCGAUGUGCGCAGAAGGGUUUUGGGCGUGAGCCUGCCUGGAGCCGUCGUCGGUGCAGAUCUUGGUGGUAGUAGCAAAUACUCCAGCGAGGCCCUGGAGGACUGAUGUGGAGAAGGGUUUCAUGUGAACAGCUGUUGCACAUGAGUCAGUCGAUCCUAAGCCCUAGGAGAAAUCCGAAGCGAUGGGUUGCCGUUAAACGUUAACAAGCUUGAUGUUGGCACCAUUUGGGCGAAAGGGAAUCUGGUUCCUAUUCCAGAACCUGGCAGUGGAACCGUUCCAAAUCGGGCCCUCAUUGAGGACUCGUCAGGGCAACCUGAAAGGACCCGGAGACGCCGUCGGGAGAUUCAGGGAGAGUUGUCUCUUCUCUAUAAGCGAUCGAGUUCCCUGGAAACCUCUAGCAGGGAGAUAGGGUUUGGAUCGCGAAGAGCACCGCAGUUACGGCGGUGUCUGAAUCUUCCCCACGGACCUUGAAAAUCCGGGGAGAGGGCCACGAGGAACCCCACGCCAGAUCGUACCCAUAUCCGCAGCAGGUCUCCAAGGUGAAAAGCCUCUAGUCGA
rnacentral:rRNA from 1 species